AUUGAACGCUGGCGGCAGGCUUAACACAUGCAAGUCGAGCGGGGUGAUGGUGCUUGCACUAUCACUUAGCGGCGGACGGGUGAGUAAUGCUUAGGAAUCUGCCUGUUAGUGGGGGACAACAUCUCGAAAGGGAUGCUAAUACCGCAUACGUCCUACGGGAGAAAGCAGGGGAUCACUUGUGACCUUGCGCUAAUAGAUGAGCCUAAGUCGGAUUAGCUAGUUGGUGGGGUAAAGGCCUACCAAGGCGACGACCUGUAGCGGGUCUGAGAGGAUGAUCCGCCAAACUGGGACUGCGACACGGACCAGACUCCUACGGGAGGCAGCAGUGGGGAAUAUUGGACAAUGGGGGGAACCCUGAUCCAGCCAUGCCGCGUGUGUGAAGAAGGCCUUAUGGUUGUAAAGCACUUUAAGCGAGGAGGAGGCUCUUUUGGUUAAUACCCAAGAUGAGUGGACGUUACUCGCAGAAUAAGCACCGGCUAACUCUUUGCCAGCCGCCGCGGUAA
rnacentral:rRNA from 1 species